UUAAGUUCAGCGGGUAGUCCCACCCGAUUUGAGGUCAAAUUGUCAAAGUAAGGUUUGUCCAAGCGGACGGUUGGCAGCCGACAAAGGCGAGCUGAGCGCGGGUUCCUCUGAGAGGGUCCCUGAAACUCCGGUGAAGAUGCUUAUCACACCAGAUGACGCUUUCGCAAGCCGGUCAUACUAACGCAUUUGAGACGUGUCGC
rnacentral:misc_RNA from 1 species